GGUUGAUUGGUCUAGUUGGUUAUGACGUGGGUCUCAUAAAACUUCUUUAUGAUCACUUCUCUAGAAGUGAGCGAUCCCAAGGUCACCAGUUCGAUCCUGGUAUCGACCA